rnacentral:misc_RNA from 1 species
GAAAUGCGAUAAGUAGUGUGAAUUGCAGAAUUCAGUGAAUCAUCGAAUCUUUGAACGCACAUUGCGCCCUUUGGUAUUCCUUAGGGCAUGCCUGUUCGAGCGUCAUUUGUAACCUCAAGCUCAGCUUGGUGUUGGGUGUCUGUCCCCGCCCCGCGCGGGGACUCGCCUCAAAAACAUUGGCGGCCGGUACGUUGGCUUCGAGCGCAGCAGAAACGCGAACUCGAGGUCCGACGGAUCGGCGACCAGAAGUCACUUCUUCCACAGCUUGACCUCGGAUCAGGUAGGGAUACCCGCUGAACUUAAGC